rnacentral:miRNA from 1 species
CAGGGUGACCAACCUUUCCCAGUUUGCCAGGGACUUUCCUGGUUUCAACACUGAAAUUCCCAUGUCCCAGGCAACCCUUUGAUCCUGGGCAAACUGGGACAAUUGGUCAACCUAGGCUAAA